UACGUAGGGUGCAAGCGUUGUCCGGAAUUAUUGGGCGUAAAGAGCUUGUAGGCGGUUUGUCGCGUCUGCUGUGAAAUUUCGGGGCUCAACCCCGAACUUGCAGUGGGUACGGGCAGACUAGAGUGUGGUAGGGGAGACUGGAAUUCCUGGUGUAGCGGUGAAAUGCGCAAAUAUCAGGAGGAACACCGAUGGCGAAGGCAGGUCUCUGGGCUGUAACUGACGCUGAGGAGCGAAAGCAUGGGGAGCGAACAGG
rnacentral:rRNA from 1 species